UACGUAGGGUGCAAGCGUUGUCCGGAAUUAUUGGGCGUAAAGAGCUCGUAGGCGGUCUGUCGCGUCUGCUGUGAAAAUCAGGGCUCAACCCUGGACCUGCAGUGGGUACGGGCAGACUAGAGUGCGGUAGGGGAGAUCGGAAUUCCUGGUGUAGCGGUGAAAUGCGCAGAUAUCAGGAGGAACACCGGUGGCGAAGGCGGGUCUCUGGGCCGAUACUGACGCUGGAGGAGCGAAAGCGUGGGGAGCAAACAGG
rnacentral:rRNA from 1 species